UGGGAUAGACAUGCUUGCUUUAGCUUUC
rnacentral:piRNA from 1 species